CCUGAACGACUUCCUUUGGGGACGUUCAAAAAGUUGCAAUCUCGUAGUGCGGGACCGUUCAAAGUCCUAAAGAAAAUCAGUUCGAAUGCGUAUGUUGUAGAUCUUCCUGAAGACUAUGGGAUUAGUGCGACAUUUAAUAUUGAAGAUUUAGUCCCAUACAAGAAAUCAACAUUCAUUCCUUCUGACCCUUUUGUUGAUACAUCCACUGUUGUUGAUUACCCUGCUCUAGCACCUGCUAGUGAGCCUCCACCUCCACAGUUUCAUGCACGCAGAGAACACAUAGAACAUAUAUUAGAUGAGCAGGUUAUACCUACCAAGAGAGGAAGCUACCAACGUUACCUUGUUCGGUGGAAAGGUCGACCCGAAUCAGAUGUGUCGUGGAUUUCGCGAGCUGAGUUGCAGCGCCUUGACCCGGAUCUUCUGGAGCAGUACGACAGCCGACCCGAUUUACACUCGACGGGGUCGAGUUUUUCUCACCCGGGAGGAGUUGAUGGGGACAUCAGCUAGGUCCCCAUUUUAUUUGCAUAUUUGCUUAUUGUUAUCUCUGGGUUUAUUUGUGUUUUAGGAUUUAUUUGGGGUUUAUUUUAUUCUGGGCUUAUUUGCAUUUUAGGGCUUAUUUAUGGGGAAUUAUUUUAUGUAAGGGGUUUAUUUUAAUUGUUCUUAUGGGGCCCUAUUUAAAGGGAACUUUAUGCUGAUUAGGGUUUUAAUGCAGAAUUAAAGACUUCCUUCCCCCACGUUUUCCUCUUCUUCUCUUCUCCUCCCUUCUCCUUCUUCUCUUCUUCUUCCUCCUUCUCUUCCCCUCUU
rnacentral:lncRNA from 1 species